rnacentral:rRNA from 1 species
AGUCAAGUAAUUAAGUGCAUGUGGUGGAUGCCUUGGCAGUCAGAGGCGAUGAAAGACGUGAUAGCCUGCGAAAAGCUCCGGGGAGGCGGCAAAUAUCCUUUGAUCCGGAGAUGUCUGAAUGGGGGAACCCACCUACUUUAAGGUAGGUAUUGCAACAUGAAUACAUAGUGUUGCAAGGCGAACGAGGGGAAGUGAAACAUCUCAGUACCCUUAGGAAAAGAAAUCAAUUGAGAUUCCCUCAGUAGCGGCGAGCGAACGGGGAUCAGCCCAUUAAGUUAUGUGUGUUUUAGUGGAACGCUCUGGGAAGUGCGAACGUAGAGGGUGAUAUUCCCGUACACGAAAGGGCACACAUAAUGAUGACGAGUAGGGCGAGGCACGUGAAACCUUGUCUGAAUAUGGGGGGACCAUCCUCCAAGGCUAAAUACUCCUGACUGACCGAUAGUGAACCAGUACCGUGAGGGAAAGGCGAAAAGAACCCCUGUGAGGGGAGUGAAAUAGAUCCUGAAACCGCAUGCAUACAAGCAGUGGGAGCACCUUCGUGGUGUGACUGCGUACCUUUUGUAUAAUGGGUCAGCGACUUAUAUUCAGUAGCGAGGUUAACCGUAUAGGGGAGCCGUAGAGAAAUCGAGUCUUAAUAGGGCGUUUAGUUGCUGGGUAUAGACCCGAAACCAGGCGAUCUAUCCAUGAGCAGGUUGAAGGUUGGGUAACACUAACUGGAGGACCGAACCCACUGUCGUUGAAAAGCCAGGGGAUGACUUGUGGAUAGGGGUGAAAGGCUAAUCAAGCCUGGUGAUAGCUGGUUCUCCCCGAAAGCUAUUUAGGUAGCGCCUCGGACGAAUACCAUAGGGGGUAGAGCACUGUUUCGGCUAGGGGGUCAUCCCGACUUACCAAACCGAUGCAAACUCCGAAUACCUAUGAGUACUAUCCGGGAGACAGACUGCGGGUGCUAACGUCCGUAGUCAAGAGGAAAACAAUCCAGACCGCCAGCUAAGGCCCCAAAAUCAUAGUUAAGUGGGAAAACGAUGUGGGAAGGCAUAGACAGCUAGGAGGUUGGCUUAGAAGCAGCCACCCUUUAAAGAAAGCGUAAUAGCUCACUAGUCGAGUCGGCCUGCGCGGAAGAUGUAACGGGGCUAAAACUAUGUGCCGAAGCUGCGGAUGUAUACUUUGUAUACGUGGUAGGGGAGCGUUCUGUAAGCCGAUGAAGGUGUGUUGAGAAGCAUGCUGGAGGUAUCAGAAGUGCGAAUGCUGACGUGAGUAACGACAAAACGGGUGAAAAACCCGUUCGCCGAAAGACCAAGGGUUCCAGUCCAACGUUAAUCGGGGCUGGGUGAGUCGACCCCUAAGGCGAGGCCGAAAGGCGUAGUCGAUGGGAAAAUGGUUAAUAUUCCAUUACUUCUGUGUAAUGCGAUGAGAGGACGGAGAAGGCUAAAUCAGCCUGGCGUUGGUUGUCCAGGUGAAAGGAAGUAGGCAUGUAUCUUAGGCAAAUCCGGGGUACUCUAUGCUGAGAUCUGAUAGCAAGCUGUACUUGUACAGCGAAGUGGUUGAUGCCAUGCUUCCAGGAAAAGUCUCUAAGCUUCAGUUACACAGGAAUCGUACCCGAAACCGACACAGGUGGUCAGGUCGAGUAGACCAAGGCGCUUGAGAGAACUCUGCUGAAGGAACUAGGCAAAAUGGUACCGUAACUUCGGGAGAAGGUACGCUGUUGUUGGUGAUGGAACUCGCUUCCUGAGCUGACGACAGCCGCAGAAACCAGGCCGCUGCAACUGUUUAUUAAAAACAUAGCACUCUGCAAACACGAAAGUGGACGUAUAGGGUGUGAUGCCUGCCCGGUGCUGGAAGGUUAAUUGAUGGGGUUAGCGUAAGCGAAGCUCUUGAUCGAAGCCCCAGUAAACGGCGGCCGUAACUAUAACGGUCCUAAGGUAGCGAAAUUCCUUGUCGGGUAAGUUCCGACCUGCACGAAUGGCAUAAUGAUGGCGGCGCUGUCUCCAGCAGAGGCUCAGUGAAAUCGAAAUCGCUGUGAAGAUGCAGUGUACCCGCGGCUAGACGGAAAGACCCCGUGAACCUUUACUGCAGCUUGACACUGAACUUUGACCUUACUUGUGUAGGAUAGGUGGGAGGCUUUGAAGCUGGAACGCUAGUUCCAGUGGAGCCGUCCUUGAAAUACCACCCUGGUAAUGUUGAGGUUCUAACUCUGUCCCGUGAUCCGGGACGAGGACCGUGUCUGGUGGGUAGUUUGACUGGGGCGGUCUCCUCCUAAAGAGUAACGGAGGAGUACGAAGGUGCGCUCAGCGUGGUCGGAAAUCACGCGUAGAGUAUAAAGGCAAAAGCGCGCUUAACUGCGAGACCCACAAGUCGAGCAGGUACGAAAGUAGGUCUUAGUGAUCCGGUGGUUCUGUAUGGAAGGGCCAUCGCUCAACGGAUAAAAGGUACUCUGGGGAUAACAGGCUGAUACCGCCCAAGAGUUCAUAUCGACGGCGGUGUUUGGCACCUCGAUGUCGGCUCAUCUCAUCCUGGGGCUGAAGCAGGUCCCAAGGGUAUGGCUGUUCGCCAUUUAAAGAGGUACGCGAGCUGGGUUUAGAACGUCGUGAGACAGUUCGGUCCCUAUCUACCGUGGGCGCUGGAAAUUUGAGAGGAUCUGCUCCUAGUACGAGAGGACCAGAGUGGACGAACCUCUGGUGUACCGGUUGUGACGCCAGUCGCAUCGCCGGGUAGCUAUGUUCGGAAGGGAUAACCGCUGAAAGCAUCUAAGCGGGAAGCCUACCUCAAGAUAAGAUUUCCCUAGGACUUUAUGUCCUCUAAAGAGCCGUUCGAGACUAGGACGUUGAUAGGUUGGAUGUGGAAGCAUAGUGAUAUGUGAAGCUGACCAAUACUAAUUGCUCGUGAGGCUUGACUAUACAACACCC